UGUGUAGGCGGCCACGCAAGUCGGAUGUGAAAGCCCCGGGCUCAACCCGGGAAGUGCACCCGAAACUGCAUGGCUUGAGUCUCGGAGAGGUUGGUGGAAUUCUCGGUGUAGAGGUGAAAUUCGUAGAUAUCGAGAGGAACACCGGUGGCGAAGGCGGCCAACUGGACGAAGACUGACGCUGAGACACGAAAGCGUGGGGAGCAAACAGGAUUAGAUACCCUGGUAGUCCACGCCGUAAACGAUGGGUGCUAGGUGUCACGGGCAUUGACUCCCGUGGUGCCGUAGCAAACGCAUUAAGCACCCCGCCUGGGAAGUACGGCCGCAAGGCUAAA
rnacentral:rRNA from 1 species